rnacentral:rRNA from 1 species
CCUACGGGAGGCAGCAGUAGGGACUCUUUCACAAUGGGCGAAAGCCUGAUGGAGCAACGCCGCGUGCAGGAUGAAGGCCUUCGGGUUGUAAACUGCUUUUAUAAGCGAGAAAUAUGAUGGUAACUUAUGAAUAAGGAUCGGCUAACUACGUGCCAGCAGCCGCGGUCAUACGUAGGAUCCGAGCAUUAUCCGGAGUGACUGGGUGUAAAGAGUUGCGUAGGUGGCAUAAUAAGUAGCUAGUGAAAUCUGGUGGCUCAACCAUUCAGACUAUUAGCUAAACUGUUAAGCUCGAGACCGUUAGGGGUAACUGGAAUUUCUAGUGUAGGAGUGAAAUCCGUAGAUAUUAGAAGGAACACCAAUAGCGUAGGCAGGUUGCUGGGACGGUUCUGACACUAAGGCACGAAAGCGUAGGGAGCAAACGGGAUUAGAUACCCGAGUAGUC